rnacentral:rRNA from 1 species
AUUGAACGCUGGCGGCAGGCUUAACACAUGCAAGUCGAGCGAGCGGCGGACGGGUGAGUAAUGUCUGGGAAACUGCCUGAUGGAGGGGGAUAACUACUGGAAACGGUAGCUAAUACCGCAUACCAUCAGAUGUGCCCAGAUGGGAUUAGCUAGUAGGUGGGGUAAUGGCUCACCUAGGCGACGAUCCCUAGCUGUUCUGAGAGGAGGACCAGCCAACCGGGAACUGAGACACGGUCAAGACGCCGACGGGAGGAAGCAGUUGGGAAUAUUGCACAAGGGGCGCAAGCCUGAUGCAGACAUGCCGGGUGGGUGAAGAAGGCCUUCGGGUUGUAAAGCACUUUCAGCGAGGAGGCGUUACUCGCAGAAGAAGCACCGGCUAACUCCGUGCCAGCAGCCGCGGUAAUAC